rnacentral:lncRNA from 1 species
CCUAAUUUACAACAUUCAAAUGCUUACUUGUCCUUUAUCACAAGCUCUAGUAGUGUUCAUCAUUUUUUAGAAGAAAUAAACUGUGAUACAGGAGUUUUUGACACCAUUUGUUAAUCGAUGCUCUUCCACAAGCCUACCCCUGUUAAGUAAUGCUGUAAUUUGGACCUGAAAUGUCUCACAGUAGCCUAUGUGUUAAAGACUUGGUUGCCACCAGAUGGCGCUACUGGACAGUGGUGGCUCCUGUAAGAGUUGAGGACUUGUGGGAGGCAGUUAGACCAUUGGGGGUGUGGCCUUGAAGAGGCUUUUGGGGCUCCCGCCCCACCUUCUCUCUUUUUAACUUCCUGGUCACCAUGAGGUGACAGCUAUCUAAGCUUGGUGCUCCUGCAUCUACCGAUACGUGGAUACCCCUACAGAUAAACACAGAUAUGAUAAUUCUGUGAAGAAAAUACUGCUUUCCUGCACUGAACUGAAUGACAAUAACCAUGGUUUUAAAUUUCAACUACCUGACACACCCUUCCAGCAAGGAGCUAGUGCUGCUGAAAUGUGUGCUGUUUUAUACCGUUUGCAGGUGAAGACAUUCAAAAUCCUUUCUUCUCGUCUUUCCAUACGUGGCAACCCUGUACCUUCAGUCGUCUGCAGUCACCUACAGUGCAACAGCAGCCUGAUCUUUGGACUCCUAAAUCCGGACCCAUCCAUCAACCCUUUCCCAUUACUGCUUCCCCACAGACUACUUUAAAGAAAGAAACCAUUUGAAAGCAGACUAUGGGUGUCUCAGCUAACGCAUCUCACUUUUCUGCGGGGCUGCUCUGGGCAGAGCUUGCUGCAGGCUCUGAGUGGCUUUGGGUUCCCCCCUUGGGCAGUGCUACUGGGUUCUGGUCUCCUUCGCCCUUCCCGGUCCCUUGCUCCUCCCCCCAGGCACAGAGAAGCGGAGCUUGGUGUCUCAGCUCUUGAGCACCAAUAGGGAGAAAACCGAUGUAAAGGAGCAGGAUCAGUGUCAACCAAUGCAGCAGUUACAGUAACUGCAGACGGUCCCGUUUAAGGGGAAAACAGAGGUUAUUUAGAACAAAGCAAACAAAACCGAAAAGAAUCAAGUCUAAGCUGUAGGAACAGCCACACCAUGUUUAUUAAAAUACUGUUUGUGCAUCUUCAUUACAUUGCUGCCUUCUAUAAGAUUGGAGAGUCAUCACACUUUUAAUGGGCACAUGUGGAUUUAAAGUAAAAGCAUUGAAAAAGAAGCCAUGACAACUGAAAACUAAGGAGGUGUAGUUUGGACGUAUUCAUGUAAAAGUAUACAAAUAUUAUUAUUAGAGAUACAUGAUUUUAAAAACUCUUCAUUUGUAUGAGAGACUGAAUAACUUUAAGGGGCGUGUGUGAUCCUAGCUUGGCAUGGUGGUGCACAUCUGCAAUCCUUACGCUCUGGAAGGCUGAGGCAGGAGGAUCACAAUGCUGAGCCCAGCCUGGACAACUGAGUGUGACCCUGUCUUAAAAUAAGAAAUUAAUAAAGGAUGGGGGAUGUAGUUUAGCAUGAAGGCCCUGGGUUGUAAGCCCAGUAUGGAAAGAAAAAGUUAUGAUCCUAAUGAAUGUUUCUUCAACUUGAGUAAAGGACAAAUGGACAUGAAUAAAAGAAAUAGGAAAAAACCCUAAAAUUGUCAUUGAAGAUUGUUUUCACACCCUGACAGUGACACUGAACCCAUGUAAUUGGAUUAUAAAAGUUUACUACACACACACACUGUAUAACACACAUA